UACGUAGGGUGCAAGCGUUGUCCGGAAUUAUUGGGCGUAAAGAGCUCGUAGGCGGUUUGUUGCGUCGGCUGUGAAAUCCCGAGGCUCAACCUCGGGUCUGCAGUCGAUACGAGCAAACUAGAGUGUUGCAGGGGAGACUGGAAUUCCUGGUGUAGCGGUGAAAUGCGCAGAUAUCAGGAGGAAUACCUGCGGCGAAGGCGGCUUCCUGGCUCAUUACUGACGUUCAGGUACGAAAGCGUGGGUAGCAAACAGG
rnacentral:rRNA from 1 species